rnacentral:lncRNA from 1 species
UUCAUCGUCCGAGUGCCCUCAGCCUACAACGCAAUCCUUAGAUGACUAGAACUUAAUGCCCUUCAUGCAAUCAUCUUAACCUACCAUUUGUUGGUGUAGUUCUCAACUCAGAAUGGAGUCGACGAGAUCUAAGGGGAUCAGAUGUUAGCCCGAUAAUGUUUCUUUGCAACCAUCAAAAAGAAGAGGCCGAUAGAAGCCUUGUCAAUUGAAGAUCAUAGGGACAACUUAAAGGAGUCUCAGGGAGAA